rnacentral:rRNA from 1 species
CAAGUCGAACGGGAGCCCGGCUUCGGCCGGUCACUCUAGUGGCGGACGGGUGAGUGACGCGUGGGAACCUGCCCUUCAGUUCGGAAUAACCACGGGAAACUGUGGCUAAUACCGUAUACGCCCUCCGGGGGAAAGAUUUAUCGCUGAAGGAUGGGCCCGCGUCGGAUUAGCUUGUUGGUAGGGUAACGGCCUACCAAGGCAACGAUCCGUAGCUGGUCUGAGAGGACGAUCAGCCACACUGG